rnacentral:tRNA from 1 species
AGCCUUAGUACUAUAAUUACUCCUUUAGAAUUGCAGUCUAAUGUCAUUGUUGACUAUAAAGCC